UGAUUUCCACCGCAAUCCUCGACGGCUACGAAGAUAAACACAACACCAAAGGCACGCUCGUAGCUAAUGGCGACGACGGCGGCGGCAUCGGAGCGAGUCGAAUUGGCGAAGCACUGCAGCUCGCGGAACUGGUCUAAAGCGAUUAGGGUUCUCGAUUCGCUCCUUGCUAAGCAGUGCUCGAUUCUGGAUAUAUGCAAUAGAGCUUUUUGUUAUAAUCAAUUGGAGCUUCACAAGCAUGUGAUUAAGUACUGUGACAAGGCUCUCCAGCUUGAGCCUUGAGCCUUGAGCCAUUCAAGCUUAUCUACUCAAAGGUUAGUUCACUAGUGCUUCCAGAGAUGUGCUCUUUUGGCUUUGGGGAGAAAACAAGAAGCUGUUCUUGUUUUGGAGCAAGGUUACAACACUGCUUUGCUGCAGACUGCAGAUGUGAAGCAGUUACUUGAAUUACAUGAACUACUCAAUCUUGCAAGGCGAGAGAUUGAUGUUACUGUGAACCAUCAUGCCGCUGAGACCACAAGGCAAGAGACCCCUGUCUCGCCUCUAGGAUCAUAUACAGCUUUUGGGACAAGCGAUAACAAAGUAUCUACGAGUAUGGCAGUUUUUGAGUCAGGAGCAUGUAGCAGUGCAAACACACAUGAGUCAUCUAUGGUCUUUGGAGAGCACUCAAAGACAAACAAAGAAUCUGGUGGUAGUACCGAGUUACGUAAGAUUCUUCUCCUUUUCGUCAGGCUAUUCAAUCAAACCCGGCGGCAGGUGAGGCCUGGAAGCGGAGAGGACAGGCUCGUGCUGCUCUUGGGGAAUUUGCUGAGGCGGUUGAAGCUUUGACUCGAGCACUGGAAUUGGAGCCAAAAUCACCUGAUAUUUUGCAUGAAAGGGGUAUUUCAAUUUUAGAUCUAAGGACUUCACUGCUGCCGUAAAGGACUUAUCUAUAUGUCUGAAACAAGAAAAGGAUAACAAGUCCGCACAUACUUUAUUUGGGACUAUCUUUUGCAUAUCUUGGUGAAUAUAUUAAAGCUGAAGAGGCGCAUCUGAAGUCCAUCCAGCUGGAUAGUAAUUAUCUUGAAGCAUGGCUACAUCUCGCCCAGUUCUAUCAAGAGUUGGCCGACUACAGCAAAGCUUUGGAAUGCAUUGAUCAGGUUCUACAAGUCGACAACAGGGUUUGGAAGGCCUAUCACUUUCGUGGGUUUGUGUUCCAUGGAUUAGGUGAACACAGAAGGGAUACUUGGAAGUUGUCAGAACUCUACUUUCCGUCGGAGUUUCAUUGAAAGCCAUCACUCGCAAGGGACUGACACCUCUUCCCUACGCUGCUCAAGGUUCUCAGUUGGACCUCGUCAAGUACUUGGUUAAGAAAGGAGCCAAUGUCAGAGCUACAACAAAGGCAGGUGUUUAUGGAGCAUGUGUUUCAGACUCUGUUUUUCUCUAUCUCCGUCCCUUGCAAUGUCAUUUUUGAUCAUCUUUCUGCUGAAUGGUAGCUUGUGGCAGUGAGCCAAGUGAGAAACAUUCUCGGACUGGGAACACGGGAGGCUGAAGCUAUUACUGUUGAUGUCACGUCUAAGGCAUACCGUAAAAGACUUGCAAUCCAUGAAGAAAUCUACAGGCAGAAGCUUCAACAAUGUGUUCUGAUGGAGAGCCGAGCGAUGACAAUGUCGCUGCUUUGUUAAGGUCAAGAGUCAUGCUCUGAACUAUUGAGGCAGCUCAUGCAGAAAUCUGUGGAAGCAAAUUUGAAAAGGUUAUUUCUUCUGGAGUGAGAUGGUUACGAUGCUGAAACUACAAAUCAGUAAGAAAGGCUACUCAUGGUCUUCGGUUAUCCAGAGAGACUGCCAUGUCUAUUGCUAGCAAGGCUACGAGCAAAGGAGCCCAAGAAGAUGAUUGCCUUGAAUCGCUCAGAAAGACAAGACCUGACAAAGAACUCGCGGAGAAGAUGGGAAAGCCUGGCCAGACUGAGAUAACUCUUAAAAACGACCUUCCCGAGAGGGACAGGAUCGAUCUCUACAAAACAUACUUGCUCUACUGUCUAACAGGAGAGGUAACAAGAAUCCCGUUCGGCGCCCAGAUCACAACAAAGAGAGACGACUCAGAGUACUUGCUUCUGAAUCAGCUUGGUGGGAUCCUUGGAUUAAUUUCGAAAGAAAUAGUCAACAUUCACGUAGGUUUAGGCGUUAGCUGAAGUGAUUCUAGCUGAUGGGCAGUUGACAAAGGCUAGAGUAGAGCAGCUAGACGAGCUGCAGAAACAAGUUGGGUUGCCUCAGCCGCAAGUGGAGAGAAGGUUAUAAAGAACAUAACAACCACAAAAAUGGCAAACGCGAAAGAAACUGCUGUUAACCAAGGAAGACGGAAUAUAAAGCAGAUACGAGAGAGCUCAAGGAGUAGACUAACGAACUCGCUGAUCCACGCUGUGGGCAUUACCAAGGCAGAGAAACGCUAAAGGAGUGGUAUGCAAAUCCUCUUUUCCUCUCAAUUCUAGGAAGUCGUUUUGUAUGUCUCAUUAGUUUGCCGGAGCACAAGAGAUUUUGUGGAUUUCUAAAGUUUAUAGAUUUUUAAAAUAACUGAUUUUUUUUUUCAUAGACUUUUUCAAUUAUGUUAGUCCAUAUAUAUAUAGAGUCCAUAAUUUUUUUUUUAAUCAUGUUAUUUUGUUUUAUUAUUGUUAAGUAAAGUAACUAUGUAAGAAUAUUGUUGUUGUAAGGUAUAUGUUAACACUGA